CCUACGGGUGGCUGCAGUGAGGAAUAUUGGUCAAUGGGCGUGCGCCUGAACCAGCCAAGUCGCGUGAGGGAAGACUGUCCUAUGGAUUGUAAACCUCUUUUGUCGGGGAGCAAAAGACGCUACGUGUGGCGUUCUGAGAGUACCCUAAGAAAAAGCCUUGGCUAACCCCGUGCCAGCAGCCGCGGUAAUACGGAGGAUGCGAGCGUUAUCCGGAUUUAUUGGGUUUAAAGGGUGCGCAGGCGGAAGGGCAAGUCAGCGGUAAAAUUGAGAGGCUCAACCUCGCCUCGCCGUUGAAACUGGUGUUCUUGAGUGGGCGAGAAGUAUGCGGAAUGCGUGGUGUAGCGGUGAAAUGCAUAGAUAUCACGCAGAACUCCGAUUGCGAAGGCAGCAUACCGGCGCUCAACUGACGCUGAUGCACGAAAGUGUGGGUAUCGAACAGGAUUAGAUACCCGGGUAGUC
rnacentral:rRNA from 1 species